GACAGAGGGUGCAAACGUUGUUCGGAAUUACUGGGCGUAAAGCGCGUGUAGGCGGCCCUGUAAGUCGGGUGUGAAAUCCCACGGCUCAACCGUGGAAGUGCAUUCGAAACUACAGAGCUAGAGUUCUGGAGAGGAAGGUGGAAUGCUUGGUGUAGAGGUGAAAUUCGUAGAUAUCAAGCGGAACACCGGUGGCGAAGGCGGCCUUCUGGACAGUAACUGACGCUGAGACGCGAAAGCGUGGGGAGCAAACAGG
rnacentral:rRNA from 1 species